GCUCCCUUCAGUAGUGCAUAUUUAAAAUGAAAACAAUAGGGAGAAAACUAGCAUGGUCCCAGUGUAAGGAUGAAAUGUGAAUUCCAGAAGAAAGCAGUUGUUAU